rnacentral:rRNA from 1 species
AGAGACAGCAGUCGCCACGGUAAUACGGAGGGUGCAAGCGUUAUCCGGAUUCACUGGGUUUAAAGGGUGCGUAGGCGGGCAGGUAAGUCGGUGGUGAAAUCUUCGAGCUUAACUCGGAAACUGCCGUUGAUACUAUCUGUCUUGAAUAACGUUGAGGUGAGCGGAAUAUGUCAUGUAGCGGUGAAAUGCUUAGAUAUGACAUAGAACACCGAUUGCGAAGGCAGCUCACUAAACGCUCAUUGACGCUGAGGCACGAAAGCGUGGGGAUCAAACAGGAUUAGAUACCCCGGUAGUCCCUGUCUCUUAUAC